CAGCAGCCGCGGGAAUACGAAGGGGGCUAGCGUUGCUCGGAAUGACUGGGCGUAAAGGGCGCGUAGGCGGCGGCCAAAGUCAGGCGUGAAAUUCCCGGGCUCAACCUGGGGGCUGCGUUUGAUACUUGGUUGCUUGAGUGGGGAAGAGGGUCGUGGAAUUCCCAGUGUAGAGGUGAAAUUCGUAGAUAUUAGGAAGAACACCGGUGGCGAAGGCGGCGACCUGGUCCUUUACUGACGCUGAGGCGCGAAAGCGUGGGGAGCAAACAGGAUUAGAGACCCCGGUAGUCCCUGUCUCUUAUAA
rnacentral:rRNA from 1 species